GGAGAGGCAAGCCGAAGGUCGGCGACGGCGCCCGCUUUGAGGCCGGGUGAGGCACGUGUGCCCUUGCGGGUUCGAUCCCCGCCCUCUCCG
rnacentral:tRNA from 1 species